AUUGAACGCUGGCGGCAUGCUUUACACAUGCAAGUCGAACGGUAACAGCACUUCGGUGGCUGACGAGUGGCGAACGGGUGAGUAAUACAUCGGAACGUGCCCAGUAGUGGGGGAUAACUACUCGAAAGAGUAGCUAAUACCGCAUGAGAUCUAAGGAUGAAAGCAGGGGACCUUCGGGCCUUGCGCUACUAGAGCGGCUGAUGGCAGAUUAGGUAGUUGGUGGGAUAAAAGCUUACCAAGCCGACGAUCUGUAGCUGGUCUGAGAGGACGACCAGCCACACUGGGACUGAGACACGGCCCAGACGCCUACGGGAGGCAGCAGUGGGGAAUUUUGGACAAUGGGCGCAAGCCUGAUCCAGCAAUGCCGCGUGCAGGAUGAAGGCCUUCGGGUUGUAAACUGCUUUUGUACGGAACGAAAAGCCCUCUUCUAAUACAGGAGGGUCAUGACGGUACCGUAAGAAUAAGCACCGGCUAACUACGUG
rnacentral:rRNA from 1 species